UACAGAGGGGGCAAGCGUUGUUCGGAAUUACUGGGCGUAAAGGGCGCGUAGGCGGCCUGUUAAGUCGAACGUGAAAUCCCCAAGCUUAACUUGGGAACUGCAUCCGAUACUGGCAGGCUUGAAUUCGGGAGAGGGAUGUGGAAUUCCAGGUGUAGCGGUGAAAUGCGUAGAUAUCUGGAGGAACACCGGUGGCGAAGGCGGCAUCCUGGACCGAAAUUGACGCUGAUGCGCGAAAGCCAGGGGAGCAAACGGG
rnacentral:rRNA from 1 species